rnacentral:tRNA from 1 species
GCCCCAGUAGCUCAGUAGGUAGAGCGACGGUUUCGUAAACCGUUGGUCAGGGGUUCAAAUCCCCUCUGGGGCU